AGAGUUUGAUCCUGGCUCAGAACGAACGCUGGCGGCAGGCCUAACACAUGCAAGUCGAACGCACCGCAAGGUGAGUGGCGCACGGGUGAGUAACACGUGGGAAUGUACCCUUUGGUUCGGAAUAACGUUUGGAAACGAACGCUAAUACCGGAUGAGCCCUACGGGGGAAAGAUUUAUCGCCAAAGGAGCAGCCCGCGUCUGAUUAGCUAGUUGGUGGGGUAAAGGCCUACCAAGGCGACGAUCAGUAGCUGGUCUGAGAGGAUGAUCAGCCACACUGGGACUGAGACACGGCCCAGACUCCUACGGGAGGCAGCAGUGGGGAAUAUUGGACAAUGGGCGGAAGCCUGAUCCAGCCAUGCCGCGUGAGUGAUGAAGGCCUUCGGGUUGUAAAGCUCUUUCGCACGCGACGAUGAUGACGGUAGCGUGAGAAGAAGCCCCGGCUAACUUCGUGCCAGCAGCCGCGGUAAUACGAAGGGGGCUAGCGUUGUUCGGAAUUACUGGGCGUAAAGGGCGCGUAGGCGGCUAUUCAAGUCAGGCGUGAAAGCCCCGGGCUUAACCUGGGAACUGCGCUUGAGACUGGAUGGCUAGAGUACCGGAGAGGUAGGUGGAAUUCCCAGUGUAGAGGUGAAAUUCGUAGAUAUUGGGAAGAACACCAGUGGCGAAGGCGGCCUACUGGACGGUAACUGACGCUGAGGCGCGAAAGCGUGGGGAGCAAACAGGAUUAGAUACCCCGGUAGU
rnacentral:rRNA from 1 species